rnacentral:lncRNA from 1 species
GAAUACUAACAAUGCUCUAAUUAGAUUAUAAUAAUGGUAAACAAACAUAAUCAAAUUCAUAACAACUCAAAGAAAUUUCAAAUAAACAAUAAAAUUCUUAAAGAAAUAUUAGAAUGAUCACAAAUUUUACUCAAAUAUUUGUCAAUUCAACCUUAAUUUAAUUCUAGUUAAAACCCUAUUGAAUUUCACUCAACUUUAGACCAAACCUAAUUAAAUCUUAAACCCUAAUAAUUCCUAAAUCCUAAGUCAAAUCCUAAACAAAUCUUAAAUUAAAUCCUAUUUCAAAUCCUAAAUCCUAAACCAAACCCUAAAUCAAACCCUAAACCAAACCCUAAUCCAACCCUAAAUCCUAAAUCAAACCUUAAAUCAAACCCUAACCAAACCCUAAUCCAAACCCUAAAUCAAAUCCUAACCAAGUCUUAAACCCUAAUUCAAACCCUAAAUUAAAUCCUAACUAAAUCCUAGUCCAAAUUCUAAUCCAAACCCUAAAUCAAACCCUAAACAAAUCCUAAACCGAAUCCUAGCCAAAUCCUAAUCCAAACCCUAAUCCAAAUCCUAAUCCAAAUCCUAGUAAUUCCUAUGACAGAUUUAAACCUCAAUAUCUAAUGAAUAAACCGUUGAUCUCAAUUCAAAAUUUUCACACUUCUUAAAAAUCAAGUUCAAAACAAGAAUUUUUUUUUUGAAAAGGAUCGGAGUUACCAAAUUGACGAAAACCUCAAAAAUGUGUUCGGGUGUUAGCCGGCCUCCUUCUCCAAUCUUGUUGCCAACCUUCCAGAGUCAAUUUCUCUUCUUUGCGCCGUUCGAUUGAUUUCAAAUUUCUUAAGGACAUAGAAAAACAAGUCUUAUAUCCUCUCACACAAGUUUUACUCCAAUCCAACUAAUAGAUUGCAUGAAAUCUUAAAAACCCUCACUAGACCUAAAAUUCUACUUUCUAAGACCUUGAUUCACUUAAACCUCAAUAUCUCUUAGUUCAACUGUUAGAUCAAGCUCAAAUUCACAACAUGUAUUCAACACAACUAUAACCAUGAAUCCAAAAUAAUUCACCUAUCGAUCUACAACAAAACUCUCGAAAUCACUCAAAACAUAAAUCCUAUUUUAUUUCAUAAAACCCAAGUCAUCCAAAAAAAAACUCAAC